ACCAACCGAGCUCUGGCCCACCAUUUGGAAAUGCGGCCCAUGAUGAGCCCACCCCUGCUCUCGCCGUUCCCGUGCCCUCUCCUCCGCUUCCUCUGCCUCUACCACGCCCCUCGCCGCCGGAACCCUACCGCCGCGCGGAUCCCUCCUCAUACUUUCCGCCGCCGUCCCCUGCUCCUCCUCCCGGCCGCCAUGUCCUCCUCCGCCUCCACCACUGCCCCCGACUCCGUCGUCGCGGACCCCAGUGCGCUUGCUCGCAAGGUAGCCGCCAUCCGCGCCGCCGGACUCGCCAAGCUCCAGGUCAUCGCCGACUUCGACGGAACGCUCACGCGGUACUGGUACGAAGGCGCCCGCGGGCAGAGUAGCCAUGGACUGCUGAGGCAAGGGAACGAGGAGUACGACGCCAAGAGGGUGGCGCUGUACGAGCACUACCACCCCAUCGAGAUCUGCCCUGACAUUCCACUCCCGGAGAAGGCCAAGCUCAUGGAGGAAUGGUGGGAGAAGACUCAUGGUCUCCUUAUUGAAGGUGGUCUUACAUAUGAAGAUAUUAAAAAGUCUGUGUCUGAUGCUGCAAUUGCUUUCAGAGAUGGUGUGGUGGAGCUCUUUGAGUACUUGGAGGAGAGAGAUAUUCCAGUGCUGGUAUUUUCUGCCGGACUUGCAGAUAUAAUUGAAGAGGUCUUCAGGCAGAAAUUACAUAGAUCAUUCAAGAAUAUUAAGGUUGUCUCCAACAGGAUGGUUUUUAACGAAGAAGGUCGGCUUGUAGCAUUUAAAGGUAAAACAAUUCACGUCCUAAACAAAAAUGAGCAUGCCUUGGACAUGGCAGCUCCAGUCCAUGACAAUCUGGGGGAUCCAAAUGGAUCUAUUGAUGACUAUUCAUUGGUGAAGAAAAGGACCAAUGUGCUGCUACUUGGUGAUCACAUAGGUGACUUGGGGAUGUCUGAUGGUUUAAACUAUGAAAACAGGAUUGCUGUUGGAUUCCUCUGAAAAUCAUUCUAAAACCUCAAUUGAUGUCAUCGUACCGCUCGAAGGAAUGCAAACAUCGAGAAAUCCCUGAAGGAUUACUCCAAAGCAUUUGACAUUGUGUAUCUGAAUGAUGCUCCAAUGAGGGGAGUUGUUGAGCUCGUUUCCGAAUUAUGUCCUUGAUCCAAACUUUUACUGCACCGUCAGAAAAAGGAUUUUGCCCCCCUGAAUUGAGCAGCCCCUGCAGUCUGCUCUCCCAAAAAUCUGGGGAUUUCACUAUCAUGUUAACCAUCCAUGCUGGCUUCAUAAGAAGCUGUUGUACAGGCUCAUCGCAGGGCCAGAUAGCCCUUGGAACAAUGAUCAAUCUUCAGUUGUAAGCUAAUCCCAAUUCAUGUGAUGGAUCGUGGGCUUCAUGGAAUUUUAGCAUUAUUGUUACAAGCCUUUUUCCUGUCAUUUUUCAAUCUCCUAUGAUAGCUCAUUGAUUCUUGUUAAAGAAAAGGUAAUAUUAUGGGUGAAUUGUGAAGCCCUGCAGAGGUUAGCUGGCCAGAAAAAUAGCUGCAGGUGGAGGUAAGGUAGACUCCAUCAUCUCCCUGAACCUAAUUUACGCUGAUGAGAAUCCAAUUAAGGCUGAUCUUGUUCUGA